rnacentral:rRNA from 1 species
AUUGAACGCUGGCGGCAGGCCUAACACAUGCAAGUCGAACGAGUGGCGGACGGGUGAGUAAUGUCCGGGAAACUGCCUGAUGGAGGGGGAUAACUAAUGGAUACGGUAGCUAAUACCGCAUCCCACCCGAUGUGCCCAUCUUGGAUCAGCGAGUUGGUGGGGUAACGGCUCACCAAGGCGACGCUCCCUAGCAGGUCUGAGAGGAUGACCAACCACACUGGAACUGAGACACGGUCCAGACUCGUAGUGGAGGCAGCAGUGGGGAAGUUUGCACAAUGGGCGCAAGCCUGAUGCAGCAAUGCCGCGUGAAUGAAGAAGGCCUUAAGAUCGUAAAGUACUGUCAGCGGGGAGGCGUUACCCGCAGAAAAAGCACCGGCUAACUCCGUGCCAGCAGCCGCAGUAAUAC